rnacentral:rRNA from 2 species
UGGGGAAUUUUGCACAAUGGGGGAAACCCUGAUGCAGCGACGCCGCGUGAUUUAGAAGGCCUUCGGGUUGUAAAAAUCUUUUCUAUGGGAAGAAAAUGACAGUACCAUAGGAAUAAGGACCGGCUAAUUACGUGCCAGCAGCCGCGGUAAUACGUAAGGUCCGAGCGUUGUCCGGAAUCAUUGGGCGUAAAGGGUACGUAGGCGGGUAAGCAAGUUAGAAGUGAAAUCCUGUAGCUCAACUACAGUAAGCUUUUAAAACUGCUCAUCUUGAGAUAUGGAAGGGAAAGUGGAAUUCCUAGUGUAGCGGUGAAAUGCGCAGAUAUUAGAAGGAAUACCGGUGGCGAAGGCGACUUUCUGGCCAUAAUCUGACGCUGAGGUACGAAAGCGUGGGUAGCAAACAGG